rnacentral:rRNA from 1 species
AUUGAACGCUGGCGGCAUGCCUUACACAUGCAAGUCGAACGGCAUCGCGGGAAAGCUUGCUUUCCUGGCGGCGAGUGGCGAACGGGUGAGUAACACAUCGGAACGUACCGGCUAGUGGGGGAUAUCCCGUCGAAAGACGGGCUAAUACCGCAUACGCUCUUCGGAGGAAAGCAGGGGACCUUUGGGCCUUGCGCUAGCCGAGCGGCCGAUGUCCGAUUAGCUAGUUGGUGGGGUAAAGGCCUACCAAGGCGACGAUCGGUAGCGGGUCUGAGAGGACGAUCCGCCACACUGGGACUGAGACACGGCCCAGACUCCUACGGGAGGCAGCAGUGGGGAAUCUUGGACAAUGGGGGCAACCCUGAUCCAGCAAUGCCGCGUGGGUGAAGAAGGCCUUCGGGUUGUAAAGCCCUUUCGGCAGGGAAGAAAUCGGCGGGGCGAAUAACCCUGCUGGAUGACGGUACCUGCAGAAGAAGCACCGGCUAACUACGUG